rnacentral:rRNA from 1 species
ACCAGACUCCUACGGGAGGCAGCAGUGGGGAAUAUUGCACAAUGGGGGAAACCCUGAUGCAGCAACGCCGCGUGAAGGAAGACGGUUUUCUGAUUGUAAACUUCUGUUCUUAGUGAAGAAGAAUGACGGUAGCUAAGGAGCAAGCCACGGCUAACUACGUGCCAGCAGCCGCGGUAAUACGUAGGGGGCAAGCGUUAUCCGGAUUUACUGGGUGUAAAGGGGGCGCAGACGGCAGCGCAAGCCAGGAGUGAAAGCCCGGGGCCCAACCCCGGGACUGCUCUUGGAACUGCGCGGCUGGAGUGCAGGAGGGGCAGGCGGAAUUCCUGGUGUAGCGGUGAAAUGCGUAGACAUCAGGAGGAACACCGGUGGCGAAGGCGGCCUGCUGGACUGCGACUGACGUUGAGGCCCGAAAGCGUGGGGAGCGAACAGGAUUAGAUACCCUAGUAU